GAUGAACGCUGGCGGCGUGCCUAAUACAUGCAAGUCGAGCGAACAGACGAGGAGCUUGCUCCUCUGACGUUAGCGGCGGACGGGUGAGUAACACGUGGAUAACCUACCUAUAAGACUGGGAUAACUUCGGGAAACCGGAGCUAAUACCGGAUAAUAUAUUGAACCGCAUGGUUCAAUAGUGAAAGACGGUUUUGCUGUCACUUAUAGAUGGAUCCGCGCCGCAUUAGCUAGUUGGUAAGGUAACAGCUUACCAAGGCAACGAUGCGUAGCCGACCUGAGAGGGUGAUCGGCCACACUGGAACUGAGACACGGUCCAGACUCCUACGGGAGGCAGCAGUAGGGAAUCUUGCGCAAUGGGCGAAAGCCUGACGGAGCAACGCCGCGUGAGUGAUGAAGGUCUUCGGAUCGUAAAACUCUGCUAUUAGGGAAGAACAAAUGUGUAAGUAACUAUGCACGUCUUGACGGUACCUAAUCAGAAAGCCACGGCUAACUACGUG
rnacentral:rRNA from 1 species